GAUGAACGCUGGCGGCGUGCUUAACACAUGCAAGUCGAGCGAAGCACUAAAGCGGAUUUCUUCGGAUUGAAGGUUUAGUGACUGAGCGGCGGACGGGUGAGUAACGCGUGGGUAACCUSCCUCAUACAGGGGGAUAACAGUUGGAAACGGCUGCUAAUACCGCAUAAGCGCACAGUACCGCAUGGUACGGUGUGAAAAACUCCGGUGGUAUGAGAUGGACCCGCGUCUGAUUAGGUAGUUGGUGGGGUAACGGCCUACCAAGCCGACGAUCAGUAGCCGACCUGAGAGGGUGACCGGCCACAUUGGGACUGAGACACGGCCCAAACUCCUACGGGAGGCAGCAGUGGGGAAUAUUGCACAAUGGGGGAAACCCUGAUGCAGCGACGCCGCGUGAGCGAAGAAGUAUUUCGGUAUGUAAAGCUCUAUCAGCAGGGAAGAAAAUGACGGUACCUGACUAGAGCCCYUWAUUMCGC
rnacentral:rRNA from 1 species